AUGUCUUCCCUUCUGCCUCUUUCUGCAGGCCUCCACCGCUACAUCUGGCUGGUUUAUGAGCAGGACAGGCUGCUGAAGUGCGAUGAGCCUAUUCUCAGCAACCGAUCUGGAGACCACCGUGGCAAAUUCAAGGUGGCGUCCUUCCGCAAAAAGUAUGAGCUGGGACCCCCGGUGGCCGGCUCAUGUUACCAGGCUGAAUGGGAUGACUAUGUGCCUAAACUGUAUGAGCAGCUGUCUGGGAAGUAAGGGAAAGCUUGGAGACAAAAACUGUCCCAGAGGCCUGAGCAGUGUUCUCAAGUUCAGCAUUGCAUGUAGAUUUCCCCUGUUUACUGACCCCAUUCUCACAGUGGCUUAGGGUGACUUUUCCUGCUGCCUGUCCUUCAAAAUUCUAGAUAGUCACACACCCCAGUUUAUGUUUUGGUCAGAUUUGAGCUCCAUUUUGGGGGAUAUUUUGGUACUGUGAUGGGGCCAUCUAAUUGUUAAUAUGAGUGUAAGAAUAGCAGCCCAGAAUUUAAAGAAGAAAAAUCCAGGUAAGAAGACCAGGUUUACAGUAAAAGAGCAAAGCAUCAAAGAAUCUUUAAGUGAGGUCUAAAAAAAAAAACGGAUUCAUUCCCUCUGCCUUUGUGUUCCUGAGUCCAGUGUUGUACACGAUGUCAUCUCUCAGACAUGUUUUCACAGUGCUCUCUCUCACCAAGACAGCCAGAGGCUAGCGUUGCAGCUAAAUUCCAACAUGGUACAUUUCGGAUGGUGUAAUAGAUGUCAUUAUACCACUCUGGCUCCUGUAAAGAGCAAUAUUGUAAAAAGCAUUAGGGAGAUUGGCUUUGCUGUUGUUGAGUGAGGCAUGACCAUCUAGACAGGCAGCAGUGCUAGGUGACAGAAUCCUUAAGUCUGUGACUGUUGAAUUGAUCACUCUUCAUUGAUGUAAGAAAAGCUGGUCUGGAGUUGCUGAAUGUCAUGUUAAUUCUGCUGUUUGCUUGUAGUUGAAUAAAAGUAAAAACAUUGAAUGCACAAA